ACGAAUUCAUUUGAGUAGAGCUGCGUGAGUUUGGCGCAGACCCUGAGUCAAGGAAACAGCAAGGCACACCAGAAAAAUACUGAGAGAUAGACAACAUAUUUUAUGCUCAGAAAUGGGAGAUCUGUUCCAAUUCAGGAGAGUAAAGUAACCCCUGACCUCUGACCCCAAAUGUGGGCGAGGAGCAACCAUCCGACGGCUUAGACACACCUGCACCUGAGGAUUCUGAUGACCAAAUGGUUAACACACUGUAAGCAGGUUUAAGUAUUUGAGAAAAUGAUCAAGAUAGAGUUACCUUUAUCCCUUGACACACUUAGACGGAGCAUUAACCUAAAAUAUGCCAUAAUUUAGCCAAAAUAAUAGCCGUUGACAGAAUAUGUAAAAUGUUUUCCGAUUUUCACAGAUAAAAAAAUAAGGUGUCUGGUCUAUUGUGUUUCCAUACUUUAAAGACAUUCUCACAGUAAGAGAUGACAAUAGGAACUAAAACUGAAGAAAAGGGUAGAAAACAGUUUUAGCUGCCCUCUGAGGAUUUGGAGAGAGAAAAAGAGAUUUCAAAUGUAGUUCAGUGGAAUAAUUCAUGGGAUAUUGUUCAUAAGGUUGAGUGACCAGAUCACAAGACCACAGCGUCUGAUGUCUUUUUUUAGAGCAGAAUAAAAAGAAAAAAGCCCAGAAGAAUCCACAACACAUGCUUGUCAAGAGUGAAAGAGUUCUUGGCAUGGUUCUUGUGCUAUCAAUGUUACAUUAAAAAUACCAAAUAUUACAAU